UGCCAGCCGCCGCGGUAAUACGGAGGGGGUUAGCGUUGUUCGGAAUUAUUGGGCGUAAAGCGCGUGUAGGCGGUUCGUUAAGUCUGAUGUGAAAGCCCGGGGCUCAACCCCGGAAUGGCUUCCGAAACUGCCAGUCUGGAGGACAAGAGGGGAGAGUGGAACUUCUGGUGGAGCGGUGAAAUGCGUAGAUAUCAGAAGGAACACCGGUGGCGAAAGCGACUCUCUGGCUUGUUUCUGACGCUGAGGUGCGAAAGCUAGGGUAGCGAACGGGAUUAGAUA
rnacentral:rRNA from 1 species